ensembl:rRNA 5S_rRNA 5S ribosomal RNA
GUCUACGGUCACACCACCCUGAAUGCACCAGAUCUCCUCUGAUCUUGGAAGCUAAGCAGGGUCAGGCCUGCUUAGUACUUGGAUGGGAGAAAACUACUUAUGCCUUUGUUAACA